UACGUAGGCAGCGAGCGUUGUUCGGAAUUACUGGGCGUAAAGCGCGUGUAGGCUGCUUCGCAAGUCGGAUGUGAAAGCCCUGGGCUCAACCCAGGAAGUGCAUUCGAAACUGCAGAGCUGGAGUCCUGGAGAGGAAGGCGGAAUUCUCGGUGUAGAGGUGAAAUUCGUAGAUAUCGAGAGGAACACCGGUGGCGAAGGCGGCCUCUGGACAGUGACUGAC
rnacentral:rRNA from 1 species